UACGUAGGGUGCAAGCGUUGUCCGGAUUUAUUGGGCGUAAAGAGCUUGUAGGCGGUUUGUCGCGUCUGCUGUGAAAAUCCGGGGCUCAACCCCGGACUUGCAGUGGGUACGGGCAGACUAGAGUGUGGUAGGGGAGACUGGAAUUCCUGGUGUAGCGGUGAAAUGCGCAGAUAUCAGGAAGAACACCGAUGGCGAAGGCAGGUCUCUGGGCCACUACUGACGCUGAGAAGCGAAAGCAUGGGGAGCGAACAGG
rnacentral:rRNA from 1 species